rnacentral:rRNA from 1 species
AGUCGUAACAAGGUUUCCGUAGGUGAACCUGCGGAAGGAUCAUUAUUGAAAUAAACCUGAUGGGUUGCUGCUGGCUCUCUCGGGAGCAUGUGCACACUUGUCAUCUUUAUAUCUCCACCUGUGCACCUUUUGUAGAUCUGGAUAUCUUUCUGAAUGCCUGCAUUCAGGUUUGAGGAUUGACUUGUCUUUCCUUACAUUUCCAGGCCUANGUUUCUUCAUAUACACCAUGUAUGUUAUAGAAUGUAAUGAAAAGGGCCUUUGUGCCUACAAACUUAUACAACUUUCAGCAACGGAUCUCUUGGCUCUCGCAUCGAUGAAGAACGCAGCGAAAUGCGAUAAGUAAUGUGAAUUGCAGAAUUCAGUGAAUCAUCGAAUCUUUGAACGCACCUUGCGCUCCUUGGUAUUCCGAGGAGCAUGCCUGUUUGAGUGUCAUUAAUAUAUCAACCUCCUCAGGUUUUUACUUGUCGAGUGUUUGGAUGUGGGGGUUUUUUUUGCUGGUCUCUUUUGAGAUCGGCUCCCCUGAAAUGCAUUAGCGGAACAAUUUGUUGACCCGUUCAUUGGUGUGAUAACUAUCUACGCUAUUGACGUGAAGCAGGUUCAGCUUCUAACAGUCCAUUAACUUGGACAAAUUUUCAUUAAUGUGACCUCAAAUCAGGUAGGACUACCCGCUGAACUUAAGCAUAUCAAUAAGCGGAGGAAAAGAAACUAACAAGGAUUCCCCUAGUAACUGCGAGUGAAGCGGGAAAAGCUCAAAUUUAAA